CACACACACACACACACACACACACAUAUAUAUGUAUAAUUGUAAAUAAUUAUCUUUUACCUAAAGUGAGCGGAAAUCCUAAGUGAGGUCUGUUCACCUCCACCGCCGCAUCACAUCAACACAAACAACAGCGAGCCGUCAUAUUUAACCCACACUCAACCCCAUUCCCUUCUCUCCCUCACAUGAAAACCCUUUCCACCGUCACCCCCCCAACACCUUCAAACAUAUUUAUCAACAACAUCAAACCACAUCAAAAACCACAACAACCAGUUGCAAAAAAAUAAUAAUGGUUAAUAUUUACCAAAAUAUUUGUGAAUAUAUUACUCAAGCGUAUUGCUAAAGAUAUAUAUAUAUUUAUAUAUAUAUAUACACACAUAUAUAUACAUAUACAUAUACAUAUAUAUAUAUGUGUAUAUAUAUGUACAUAAAUAUAUAUAUCAAUGUAUAUAAAAUAUUUUUUUAACUCUAACAAUGUGCUCCCUGAAAGGCAAUUACCAUGUGAAAAUUACAUUUUACAAUUAAAAUAUUAAUUUUAAUAGUAAUAAUAAUAAUAAUCUUAAAUAUUUGGAACUGCGGAUUGGAUCUACUCAUUAUACAUGGUAUGGCACGGAAUUAUUAAGGUGAGUUGGUUUCAAACAUUUUUAUGUGGCAACUUUUAUAGCAAAGUGUAUUGUCACUUAUGAACAAGUAAGUCUGUUGAUAUCACUUUCACUCUAUUUAUGGUCAUGUCUCUACGUCAUUG